rnacentral:misc_RNA from 1 species
GCAAACUUGGUCAUUUAGAGGAAGUAAAAGUCGUAACAAGGUUUCCGUAGGUAAGUGGAAGCUUGACAUCUUACAUCCCCCCAUAGUUCCUUGAAUAACGUGCUGACUUUUUCCCUUUUAGGUGAACCUGCGGAAGGAUCAUUACCGAGUGUGGCCCUUUUUAUGAGGGUGCCUCCCGUCCUUUGCGGGCCCUUAGGGGCUUUUUGACUUUGCUUCGGCGGGGUUGCCCCGCCGGAACCCCCUCAAGAAAAUCUCGAAAAUAACCGUUCAGUCCGAGGGCUUGUGAAUAAACAAAACUUUCAACAACGGAUCUCUUGGUUCUGGCAUCGAUGAAGAACGCAGC